rnacentral:rRNA from 1 species
ACGGAAGGCAGCAGUGGGGAAUAUUGCACAAUGGGGGAAACCCUGAUGCAGCGACGCCGCGUGAGUGAAGAAGUAUUUCGGUAUGUAAAGCUCUAUCAGCAGGGAAGAAAAUGACGGUACCUGACUAAGAAGCACCGGCUAAAUACGUGCCAGCAGCCGCGGUAAUACGUAUGGUGCAAGCGUUAUCCGGAUUUACUGGGUGUAAAGGGUGCGUAGGUGGUAUGGCAAGUCAGAAGUGAAAACCCAGGGCUUAACUCUGGGACUGCUUUUGAAACUGUCAGACUGGAGUGCAGGAGAGGUAAGCGGAAUUCCUAGUGUAGCGGUGAAAUGCGUAGAUAUUAGGAGGAACAUCAGUGGCGAAGGCGGCUUACUGGACUGAAACUGACACUGAGGCACGAAAGCGUGGGGAGCAAACAGGAUUAGAUACCCUGGUA